AGGUGGGUACACACUACUCUCGCCAUCUUUCCACUCCCAGUGCGCGAGUAGCUGUUCGCGUCGAGGGAUCACAAGACUGGGCUUACCGGAGGCAAGUGGCUAGUACUAUAAAUUCUCAACCCAGCGGGCCAUCAACGGACCGGUCCUUAAUCGACACAGUUGGAGACACUACUUUAAGACUCCAUUCUUAAAGCAAGUCCACCGACCGGUCUCAAAUUGAAACAUCA
rnacentral:lncRNA from 1 species